CGGCGGACGGGUGAGUAACGCGUGGGUAACCUGCCUCAUACAGGGGAUAACAGUUAGAAAUGACUGCUAAUACCGCAUAAGACCACGGUACCGCAUGGUACAGUGGUAAAAACUCCGGUGGUAUGAGAUGGACCCGCGUCUGAUUAGGUAGUUGGUGGGUAACGGCCUACCAAGCCGACGAUCAGUAGCCGACCUGAGAGGGUGACCGGCCACAUUGGGACUGAGACACGGCCCAG
rnacentral:rRNA from 1 species